rnacentral:tRNA from 1 species
GCCGACGUAGCUCAGCAGGUUAGAGCGCUUGAUUGUGGAUCAAGAGGUCCCCCGUUCGAGCCGGGGCGUCGGUACCA